UGGAUAGCUCAGUUGGAAUAGAGCAUGAGACUCUUAAUCUCAGGGUUGUGGGUUCGAGCCCCACAUUGGGCAAAA
rnacentral:tRNA from 1 species